rnacentral:rRNA from 1 species
AUUGAACGCUGGCGGCAGGCCUAACACAUGCAAGUCGAGCGGGGUUUUCGGACCUAGCGGCGGACGGGUGAGUAAUGCGUAGGAAGCUGCCCGAUAGAGGGGGAUACCAGUUGGAAACGACUGUUAAUACCGCAUAAUGUCUACGGACCAAAGUGUGGGACCUUCGGACCACAUGCUAUCGGAUGCGCCUACGUGGGAUUAGCUAGUUGGUGAGGUAAUGGCUCACCAAGGCGACGAUCUCUAGCUGGUUUGAGAGGAUGAUCAGCCACACUGGAACUGAGACACGGUCCAGACUCCUACGGGAGGCAGCAGUGGGGAAUAUUGGACAAUGGGCGCAAGCCUGAUCCAGCCAUGCCGCGUGUGUGAAGAAGGCCUUCGGGUUGUAAAGCACUUUCAGCGAGGAGGAAGGGUGGUGUGUUAAUAGCACAUCAUUUUGACGUUACUCGCAGAAGAAGCACCGGCUAACUCUGUGCCAGCCGCCGCGGUAAGAC